rnacentral:lncRNA from 1 species
AAUACACACUGCUUUCUUAUGCUUAACAAAAGAACAAAGAUUACAAUACACACAAGAGCACAUAUAACAGUUCAAGACAGAAAGAUCGUCAGGGGUGCAUAGUACUACAGCAAUUCAAGUUCCGAAAGAAGAUUAAACACAUUAAAUAAGAAUAAUGUCCGCACCGCUUUCAGAUUUUUGCACUUUGAAAUACUCUGUAAAUACCCCCUUACAUCCAUUUUAAACUGCUCAAACACAGGGGUCUUCCCAGACCACCUCAUUUUAUGUAUAUAAUAACGUGCCGUUAUAAUCGUUAAAUUUAUUACAAACGACAUGUUGAUAUUGUUUUCAAUGGGACUGAAACUUCACAUAACAUCUUUUUCAUCACAACAAAUAUCAAUAUGGGUUUCUGUUUUACUACAAGUCUGCAACUUAGUCCAGGAAAUGUUUACCCCGGGACAGAACCCAAACACGUGCCGAAUAGUUUCAGGGCUAUCGUCACAAAAAACACAUCGGUCGUCUAUAUUGGUUUCAGAUCGCUGGGUAACAGGAGUCUUAACUGUGUAACAUUCACGGCAGCAACACAUCCGGGGAAGGACACCAGCUGAUGCUGACUCUGUUAGCCGACUGGAGGGGAGGAGAGAGAGAGAGUGCUCAUUCUCGCUGUCGAAGUGACUCAACCCCUACAUUUCAGGAAACCAUAUGAGUCAUACCCUUUAGUUUGUGCUGUCUUUUUGGAGGAGAAAGGAACGCACACAGACAUGUUGUACCGAGGGCGGGUUCUGCGAGGAUGGACACGGAGACUCAGACUUGUGGAGUCAGACACGGCGCUGUGUUUCUCCCCUCGUCGCCGGGAUCUGCCAGCAGCACCGCCGCGGCCCGUCCAGAGAGGGAGAGAGACAGAGCGGGUCACGGCUCUCACUCCAGAACAAGAAAGCUUUUUUUAUCUGGGCUCUCCUUUCCGGUUAUUUUUCCCCCGUCUGUUCUUCACGUUGGCGGUCCCUCAUCAUGACGGUCCUGGGUGUUGUCCUGAC